rnacentral:lncRNA from 1 species
GAGUAACAAAGGUUAAGAACCAGUGGUCUAAAGGACUGGACUUUUCAGGAGUGAAAUAGCAGAAUAUAUCACAGAGAGUGAAUAAUUUUGAGGAGCAGAAGGAAAUUUCCAUUGAUUAUGUCCUUCUGUUACAUUUUUCUCUUUUGAGGUGGUUUGCCUGUUGAAAAGUCAUGGGAAAAGUUUAAACCACAGGAGAUCAUGGUACGAAAGUUUAUGUUAAAAUAUUUGUAUUUAGAUGCAACAAGGUUUUGUUUCCUCAGAUCAACCCACCUUCAAUCCUGGAAGAGGAGGAGGGUGAAGAAGAAGAAGAAGAAGAAGAAGAAGAAGAAGAAGAAGAAGAAGAAGAAGAAGAAGAAGAAGAAGAAGAAGAAGAAGAAGAAGAAGAAGAAGAAGAAGAAGAAGAAGAAGAAAAGGAGGAAGAUUAAUUAUAACAAUACAGUUUCAGCUUCUGGCAAUGCCUGGGCUGGAGCCUUUUCUUAUUAUGACUGAAUUGAUGAUCCCAGAACAACAGUGUGAAAGAAAACAUGAAGUGGUGAAAAAAACGAGGAACCACUUCUUUGCUGAUGAAGAACAGAAGGAGAUUCAGUGCCCUUAGUUUUACUGAAGUAAGGUAAUGGUGCUGAGACCUGCAUUUGAUUUAAUCAACUAAACUCUCAAUUUUUGCAUCAGCUGUUAGGAACUGAGCUAAUUUACAUUACAGCCCCUCACUGAUUGUUGAAAACUAACUACUUUGUCAAACAAAGAGACUACUAAAGGUUUCUUAGAACUCAUAUAAAGAGGAUUUUACAAAAGUCAAUAAUUUGGAGUAGAUCCUAUACAAUAGAUAAUCCACAAAUACACACCCUUGGUAUUUGAUCCUGGGAUAGCAAGAUUGCCAGACCAUCCUUUGCAUAGUUUGGGGGAUACAAUGUUGAAAAUGCCUUCCUUAACUUGCAGGGAUAAGAUCUGGCAGAAGGUUUAACUAAAGGCUGUGGGCUAAACCGCAGAAGCCUGUGCUGCAGGGUCAGAAGACCAAGCAGUCGUAAGAUCGAAUCCACGCGACGGAGUGAGCGCCCGUCACUUAUCCCAGCUCCCGCCAACCUAGCGGUUCGAAAGCAUGCAAAUGCGAGUAGAUUAACAGGGACCACCUCGGUGGGAAGGUAAACAGCAUUCCGUGUCUAAGUUGCACUGGCCAUGUGAUCACGGAAGAUUGUCUUCGGACAAAACGCUGGCUCUAUGGCUUGGAAACGGGGAUGCGCCCCGCCCCCUAGAGUCGAACACGACUGGACAAAAAUUGUCAAGGGGAACCUUUACCUUUACCUUUACCUAAAGAGGGCAAAGUUUCAUUCAGAAAAUCCUUUCUGAAGGCAAAGGUCUGCCUCCAGCAGCUCAUUUUCCCUUAAAGAAUGCAACCCUGGAGAAAUAGGACACAUUGAAAACUCAUUGCUGUUGGCCUCCUGUUAAAAACAAUGGGUCAGUGCUUAGCUUUGCUUGCUCUAUGCACUUAUAUGCAGAAUUGGAUGAAUACUGGAGUAUGUUUUCUUGCAUUUGCACUGCACUAGAUUCCGUUCUCCAUGUUUAUGGAAUCUUAAAGCCAUGGCUGUGGACUCCACAGUGUCGGUACACAUUGCGGUUUCCAUUUUUGGCACAUCACACACAACACACCAUACAUCAUUGGGGUCGCACGCGACACACACGUAGGCAUGAGCUCAGAAUCGUUUGGUUAGUUUUGAAAACUCACAGGAUAUUUGCAGGAUGAGGGAAGCACACAAGUGAGGCAGAAUAGCCCGAAAGUACUGCUGCGAUGGACAAAACUGUCGUUGAAGUCCAUAAAAGACGCAAGCAGAAAUCUAUAGUUAAUCUCCCAAAAUUGGUUGGGUUGUUAACAGUUUAAUAAUUGCACAACACUGCAUGACCAUACGCCAGCAGCUAGCUCUUUGCUAUGUUAACAGCAUUUUUAAUUUGCAGAGUGCAGUGGCCCAGUGCAGGCCGUGCAGUUAUUGAAAUAUAAUCAUUCUCACAAAAAGAAAGCAGACUUGCCGUUUAUUAUGUUUUUGCUAAACUGUAUACGAUUAGUACAGGAGAAAAAGAUUCCUACACUUUCUUAUAAAAGCCUUCAGAAGUGGCUUCUGUGCUUCCAAAUAUCUUACUCUAGAUGAGAUAGAGGAACAAGAAAAUCAGGCAGUAACCCCACAGAAAGAAGGCAUGAAUCCUAAGAGUGUCAAUCUAUGUGUAGACCUGGAAAAGACCAGAGAAGGGAAAGGACUUGGCUAUCUCUCUGGUGAUCUCUCUUCCUUAUGCAAAUCAUUUGCAAUUUGCGUUAGUGGUAUGUUCUAACAGGCUGUACCUUCUUCCCCAUGAAAACAUAGUGAAGUGAAGAAUACUUAAGGAAAUUUAAUUUAUUACUAAGCACCACUAUGAACAGAUUGCAAUUCCUCCAUUUAUUUCAGCGAUCAACAGUUAAGCAUCAAAUAAAGAUCUGGAUGGUUCUGACA